rnacentral:rRNA from 1 species
GAUGAACGCUGGCGGCGUGCCUAAUACAUGCAAGUCGAGCGAACAGACGAGGAGCUUGCUCCUCUGACGUUAGCGGCGGACGGGUGAGUAACACGUGGAUAACCUACCUAUAAGACUGGGAUAACUUCGGGAAACCGGAGCUAAUACCGGAUAAUAUAUUGAACCGCAUGGUUCAAUAGUGAAAGACGGUUUUGCUGUCACUUAUAGAUGGAUCCGCGCCGCAUUAGCUAGUUGGUAAGGUAACGGCUUACCAAGGCAACGAUGCGUAGCCGACCUGAGAGCGUGAUCGGCCACACUGGAACUGAGACACGGUCCAGACUCCUAAGGGAGGCCGCAGUAGGGAAUCUUACGCAAUGGGCGAAAGCCUGACGGAGCAAAGCCGCGUGAGUGAUGAAGGUCUUCCGAUCGUAAAACUCUGUUAUUAGGGAAAAACAAAUGUGUAAGUAAAUAUGCACGUAUUGACAGUACCUAAGAAGAAAGCCACGGCUAACUACGUG